UCUCGCGGAUGUGAAAGGCACUGAGGGUAGGACCUUUUUACCUUCCUCUUUACUGAUCUGUCCUUGAACUUAUAAUUGUGCUCGUUCUAAUGACUUGUUCUUUUUUGCAGAGAUGACUUUUGAUCCUUCAGCCCUUAGGCAGGCCGUGACCAAGAAGUCAAAGGCCCCUCAGACCCGAGCUCCAGGGCAGAAGAGGGGAAAGAAGAGAGCUCGGGGAACGGAGAAUAUCAGGAGUGGCCCUGGCGAAACUUCUGCCCGAGGACAUACCCCGACCACACAGGCCACGGAGACUCCUACCGGUCCACCUCGGUCACAUCCUCGGCCAAGGAGUACUCCCGAGGUUGUUGACCUCGAGGAUGAUAUACGACCUAUGCCCUCUUUCCAAAACCAGGAGCCUGACUGGUGUCCUCUGGUGUCAAGCAUCGUGGACAAGUACAGGAAGGACCUUGGUUUUGAUGAGGGCAUGAAGGCUCUGGAAUCCCUUACUCUGAAGGUAAGCUCGCCCAAUCUACUUUGCUUAAAAUACAAGUUUUAAAAAGGUUUAAACGCUGUGAUUACUUAAGCUCGGGUUACAUGGUGCAGGCUCUGAGCAUUGCUCGAGGCCUUUCUCUGAAAGGGAAAGAUGAGGCCCAAAAAACCACCGAGCUCGAGGACUCCUCUCGAGCACAGGAGAAGAGGAUAGCAAACUUGGAGGCUGAGCGCUUUCUUCUUCAGAAGGAGCUCGAGGACUCGAAGAAGGAUGUCUGGAGAGCUCGAGAAGAGGCCGGAACUGCCAAGGGCGAGGCCGAAGGUUUAAAGGUCGAGAUCGAGCGUUUGAAGAUUGAUUUUGAGACUCGCCUGGCUGAAGCUCGAGGGGCUGCGAUUGAGGACUUCAAAAUGUCCGAGGAGUUUAACGGCCUUAAGGGAGAGUACGCCAUGGGCUCGUACUUCCAUGCCUUUAAGGAAGCUCGGGCAUUUUUGAGAUCGAAGCCCGACGCUAAGCCCGAGGAUUUAAAGAACAUCCCCG
rnacentral:lncRNA from 1 species